rnacentral:rRNA from 1 species
CUUAGUUCCGCACGAAGUUCAGACUCGUGGCAGAUAGCUCAGUAACACGUGGCCAAACUACCCUAUAGAUCCGGCCAACCUCGGGAAACUGAGGCUAAUCCGGAAUAACGCUUUCAGCCUGGAGUGGCGAGAGCGUGAAACGCUCCGGCGCUAUAGGAUGUGGCUGCGGCCGAUUAGGUAGAGGUGGGGUAACGGCCCACCGUGCCAGUAAUCGGUACGGGUUUGAGAGCAAGAGCCCGGAGACGGUAUCUGAGACAAGAUACCGGGCCCUACGGGCGCAGCAGGCGCGAAACCUUUACACUGCACGCGAGUGCGAUAAGGGGACUCCAGGUGGAGGGCAUAUAGUCCUCGCUUUUCUCGACCGUAGGGAGGUCGAGGAACAAGUGCUGGGCAAGACCGGUGCCAGCCGCCGCGGUAAUACCGGCAGCACAAGUGAUGACCGCUGUUAUUGGGCCUAAAGCGUCCGUAGCUGGCCAGACAAGUUCAUCGGGAAAUCUGUGCGCCUAACGCACAGGCGUCCGGUGGAAACUGCCUGG